rnacentral:Y_RNA from 1 species
GGCUGGUCCCACGGCAAUGGGUUUUCAGAACUUAAUAUUAGUGUCACUAAAGUUGGUAUACAACUCCCCCCCAAAACCACUAAAUUUGACUGGCUCUGG